rnacentral:lncRNA from 1 species
AAACACAAAUCUGGCCAAAGAGGAAAAAGCAGGGAAGAAGAUGGGGAGCACAGAUUAGCGAACAAGGAUGACUAGCCACACAGGGUUAGGGUUGCCAAUGGAGAGCCUGAUUCAAGAAGAUGAUGGCUCCGCCGCUAGGAAGAAGAUGAAAAGCAAGGAGGCCCCGGCGACGGCGAAGGCGUCACUGAACCCCGCCGGACUUCGCACCACAGCAAGACAAUUCGGCCGCCCUCGCCGACAAAACUCGCACACCCGCAACGGCCAAAACCCACCACCAACGACGGCGGGCGCCGCACCCUAACAACGGUGGAACGCAAGCAAGGAUCCGCAAAGCAGAUCCAGAAGAGUUUCAGCACAGAUCCACCAGAGACGUGUAUGACAUCUCCUCCGAAUCUCGAACCUAAGAAACGGCUCCAAGCGGAGGACGAAACACCGGAAGCGGCGAGGAGGGCAAGGGGGACGUAGCCGUCGGGUAAGGGAGAGGGGAAGAAACCCAAGGAAAGGGCACUGGUGCAGCAACCCCAGAAGCAGAUCUGGUUUAUUAGCAAAGGAAGAAAGAUUAAAGGACAAAAAACAGAGGGAGAAGGAGGGGGUUGCCGCCGCGCCAGGAGG